GCUUUCAACAUCCCCGUCUCAGAGGCGCAGGACGGCAUAGGCGUUGGCCGAUGCUUAACGACCUCGAGAGACUGAAGGC
rnacentral:sRNA from 1 species